GACGUAGGGGGCCAGCGUUGUUCGGAAUUACUGGGUGUAAAGGGUUCGUAGGCGGUGCGGCAAGUUGGGAGUGAAAUCUCUGGGCUUAACCCAGAGGCUGCUUCCAAAACUGCUGUGCUUGAGUGUGGGAGAGGCGCGUGGAAUUGCAGGUGUAGCGGUGAAAUGCGUAGAUAUCAUUUGGAACGCCAAUGGUGAAAACAGGUAGCUGGGAGUGUGCUGACGCUGAGACACGAAAGCCAGGGGAGCAAACGGG
rnacentral:rRNA from 1 species